AGAGAACCUCAAGCGUUAUCCGGAAUCAUUGGGCGUAAAGCGUACCGAUAGGUGGUUAUACAAGUCAGAAGUGAAAUUCCAAAGCUUAACUUUGGGUCUGUCUUUUGAAACUGUAUAACUAGAAGGGCAAAGAGGAAGCUGGAACAAACGGUGUAGUAGUGAAAUGCGUUGAUAUCGUUUGGAACACCAAUAGCGUAGGCAGGCUUCUGGGUGCCACUUGACACUGCUAGGACGAAAGCGUGGGGAGCGAAUGGGAUUAGAUACCCCAGUAGUCCACGCUGUAAACGAUGAUGAUUAGGUGCUAGGGAGUAUCGACCCUCCUUAGUACCAUAGCUAACGCGUUAAAUCAUCCGCCUGGGGAGUACGGCCGCAAGGCUA
rnacentral:rRNA from 1 species